GUCCUCAGAGAUAGCUCAAUUGGUAGCGCAUGAGACUUAAUCUCAGGACCGUGGGUUCAAGCCCUGCAUUGGCCA